UACGAAGGGUGCAAGCGUUACUCGGAAUUAUUGGGCGUAAAGAGCUCGUAGGCGGUUUGUCGCGUCUGCUGUGAAAACUCGGGGCUUAACUCCGGGCCUGCAGUGGGUACGGGCAGACUAGAGUGCGGUAGGGGAGACUGGAAUUCCUGGUGUAGCGGUGAAAUGCGCAGAUAUCAGGAGGAACACCGGUGGCGAAGGCGGGUCUCUGGGCCGUAACUGACGCUGAGGAGCGAAAGCGUGGGGAGCGAACAGG
rnacentral:rRNA from 1 species